CUCAAGGGUAUCUUCGCUCCCCAACUGAGCAAAAUGGAACGGUAAUAUUUUGCAAUGAUUUAUAGAAUUGCUUGAAAAGUGAAAGGAGAAGGAAGAGCAAGAGCACUAGGAAUAGCAAAUAAGGAGAGACUCAAGAGAAAAAUAUGUUGUCGGGGAAAUCUUAAGUGUGGUUGGUUAAUAUCAAGCUGAGCAGCAGGAGCAAGUACGAGAUUUUCAGCAUAUACUACAGUUGAAGAUGAAGUUUUAGGUGACCAAGAGAAGAAGGACGAAGAAAGCCUAAAUCCAGAGAAUCAAUCAUUCUCUCUUUCCAUUCAAUAAGGCAACAAUUUAUCCCAUUUCUCUAUUAUAUUGUAUGGUAGUUUAAGUCCUAAUGUCAACAAGGAUCUUAUAUGUUGUAUGUAUAAGUUUUUGAUUCCUUAUUUAUUGAUUUUUCUGUAAUUCAACUGUUGGAAGUUUGGUUUUAGGGUUCUUUUGGCUUGAUUUGGGGCACGUGAAGAUUUAGGAAACUAUUAUGACGAAAUGUAUGUAGACAUUGAAUUAUUUGAAAGUCUUUUGACUUAAACUAUUGGAUUU